UGCAAGACAUUGUCAAUUCUCCUUCUCUGGAUGCUGCUUGCAGGAAGAUAGAUGAUUUGGCUGCAAAAAAUCAACUUGAUUCUUCACUGGUUUUGAUGAUCACAAAAGCAUGGUCAGCUGCUAAAGAGUCCAACAUGACAAAAGAUGAGGUAAAAGACAUUCUUUAUCAUCUCUACAUGACAGCAGUAGGUAAUCUUCAGAGGCUCACGCCUAAGGACAUUAGAAUACUGAAGUAUCUUCUUAAAAUUGAGGAUCCUGAGGAGCGAUUAUGUGCAUUGAGAGAUGCAUUUACCC
rnacentral:misc_RNA from 1 species